CGAUGGAACGCUUUAUCCAAAGAA
rnacentral:snRNA from 1 species